UACGUAGGGACCGAGCGUUGUCCGGAUUCAUUGGGCGUAAAGAGCUCGUAGGCGGCCACUCAAGUCGAAUGUGAAACCUCGAGGCUUAACCUCGAGCCUGCAUUCGAUACUGGGCGGCUAGAGUCUGGUAGGGGGAUCUGGAAUUCCUGGUGUAGCGGUGGAAUGCGCAGAUAUCAGGAGGAACACCAAUAGCGAAGGCAGCUCGCUGGGACGGUACUGACACUGAGGCGCGAAAGCGUGGGGAGCGAACAGG
rnacentral:rRNA from 1 species